rnacentral:rRNA from 1 species
GCGUGGAUGAAGAAGGUCUUCGGAUUGUAAAGUCCUUUCGGCGGGGACGAUGAUGACGGUACCCGCAGAAGAAGCCCCGGCUAACUUCGUGCCAGCAGCCGCGGUAAUACGAAGGGGGCUAGCGUUGCUCGGAAUUACUGGGCGUAAAGGGCGCGUAGGCGGCCUUGUUUGUCAGGCGUGAAAUUCCUGGGCUUAACCUGGGGGCUGCGCUUGAUACGGCGAGGCUUGAGGACGGAAGAGGGUCGUGGAAUUCCCAGUGUAGAGGUGAAAUUCGU